rnacentral:rRNA from 1 species
GUUUACACCAAUAUCACAUUAACAAUGUCGUUGCUCACCUGCUCAUUGAAAUUAAGCAAUGUCAAGCCUAAUUAGUACUUAAACUGGUGACUGCUUCAGAAAUUUAGGUACUGUAAACA